rnacentral:lncRNA from 1 species
AUGUGCCUGGACGCACUGGGACACGGGGAUAUACCUGGACGCACCGGGACACGGGGGUGGGCCCGGACGCACCGAGACAUGGGGGUGCACCUGGAUGCACCGAGACACAGGGGUGUGCCUGGAGACACCGGGACACGGGGAUGUGUCUGGACACACUGGGACACGGAGGUGGGCCUGGACACACCAGGACACGGGGAUGCGCCUGGACGCACCGGGACACGGGGGUGGGCCUGGACGCACCGGGACACGGGGGUGGGCCUGGACGCAUCGGGACACAGGGAUGUGUCUGGACACACCGGGACACAGGGGUGGGCCUGGACACACCGGGACACGAGGAUGCGCCUGGACACACCGGGACACGAGGAUGCACCUGGACACACCGAGACACGGGGGUGUGCCUGGACGCACCGGGACACGGGGGUGCACCUGGAGACACCGGGACACGGGGGUGCGCCUGGAGACACCGGGACACGGGGGUGCGCCUGGAGACACCAGGACACGGGGGUGCGCCUGGAUGCACCGGGACACGGGGGGUGGGCCUGGACACACUGGGACACGGGGGUGCGCCUGGACACACCGAGACAUGGGGGUGGGCCUGGAUGCACUGGGACACGGGGGUGCGCCUGGACGCACCGGGACAUGGGGGUGUGCCUGGAGACACCGGGACACGGGGGUGUGCCUGGAGACACCGGGACACAGGGGUGUGUCUGCACACGGACUCAGGGAAAACAUCCCCGUCCCCUUACCCGCAUCCCCCAAGCAGGACACUUUCCAGUUGUCCAACUGGAACCAUCAGCCACAGCCCCCUCUCCCCGAGAAUGGACGUGGCCGAGUCACUCCCCACUUCUCCCUGGAGCUGCAGACAAAGCAACGUGGACGCUGACGGUCCCUUCCCCAAGUACUCCCCAACACCACCAGGCGACUUGGGCUGGAGGCCCUUGGUGUGCAGCCGGGGUGCAGAGCCGCCCGCCCCAGACUGCCUGCUCCCACCGACUCAGCACCGGCAGGCACAGCCACCCUCUUUGA